AACGAACGCUGGCGGCAUGCCUAACACAUGCAAGUCGAACGAGACCUUCGGGUCUAGUGGCGCACGGGUGCGUAACGCGUGGGAACCUGCCUUAGGUUCGGAAUAACAGUGAGAAAUUACUGCUAAUACCGGAUGAAAGCGGGGGAUCGCAAGACCUCGCGCGAUUGGAGCGGCCGAUGUCAGAUUAGCUAGUUGGUGGGGUAAAGGCCCACCAAGGCGACGAUCUGUAGCUGGUCUGAGAGGACGACCAGCCACACUGGGACUGAGACACGGCCCAGACUCCUACGGGAGGCAGCAGUGGGGAAUUUUGGACAAUGGGCGCAAGCCUGAUCCAGCAAUGCCGCGUGCAGGAAGAAGGCCUUCGGGUUGUAAACUGCUUUUGUACGGAACGAAAAAGUCCGGGUUAAUACCCUGGGCCCAUGACGGUACCGUAAGAAUAAGCACCGGCUAACUACGUG
rnacentral:rRNA from 1 species